AUUGAACGCUGGCGGCAGGCCUAACACAUGCAAGUCGAGCGGAUGAAGGGAGCUUGCUCCUGGAUUCAGCGGCGGACGGGUGAGUAAUGCCUAGGAAUCUGCCUGGUCGUGGGGGAUAACGUCCGGAAACGGGCGCUAAUACCGCAUACGUCCUGUGGGCGCCAGUGGGGGAUCUUCCGACCUCACGCUAUCAGAUUAGCCUUGGUCGGAUUAGCUAGUGGGUGGGGUAAAGUCCUACCAAGGCGACGAUCCGUACCUUGUCUGAGAGGGUGAUCAGUCAGAUGGUAACUGAGAAACGGUAGCGACACUGACGGGAGGCAGCAGUGGGGAAUAUUGGAGGAUGGGGGAAAGCGUGAUCCAGCCAUGCGGCGGGUGUGAAGAAGGUCUUAGGAUGGGAAAGCGCUGUAAGUUGGGAGGAAGGGAAGUAAUUUAAUACCUUACUGUAUUGACGUUACCAACAGAAUAAGCACCGGCUAACUUCGUG
rnacentral:rRNA from 1 species